GCUACAUGCGGGCCAGUAGGUCGGGGAAUGCGGAGGGGGGGAGGGUGAAGCGGAUGUACGGGGCGUAAAGGGGGCGCAGGCGGCCGCGCAAGUCGAGUGUGAAAGCCCCGGGCUUAACUUGGGAAUUGCGCUCGAAACUACGUGGCUGGAGUGUGGCAGAGGAAGGUGGAAUUCCACGUGUAGCGGUGAAAUGCGUAGAGAUGUGGAGGAACACCAAUGGCGAAGGCAGCCUUCUGGGCCAACACUGACGCUCAUGCACGAAAGCGUGGGGAGCAAACAGGAUUAGAUACCCCAGUAGUC
rnacentral:rRNA from 1 species